rnacentral:lncRNA from 1 species
UUCUCCACGUAGGUGAACAUGUAUAGAAAAGGGGGUUCUGUUGGAAAAUGCUUAAGGCAUUCUCGGAUAUGUUUGUUGAAGAGUUGGGUGGGCCUAGCAAGAUGGCAGCGCAUGUGCAAUAAGUAUUCCCGUGAAGUACCACUGCUAAGGUAAUGUCGUUUCUAUCAGAUUUGUAAGUUACUCUGUUUUCCAUAUAACUAUAUUUUUUUCAUUUGAA